rnacentral:rRNA from 1 species
UCGGGGUGCAGCAGGCGCGAAACCUCUGCAAUAGGCGAAAGCUUGACAGGGUUACUCUGAGUGAUUUCCGUUAAGGAGAUCUUUUGGCACCUCUAAAAAUGGUGCAGAAUAAGGGGUGGGCGAGUCUGGUGUCAGCCGCCGCGGUAAUACCAGCACCCCGAGUGGUCGGGACGUUUAUUGGGCCUAAAGCAUCCGUAGCCGGUUCUACAAGUCUUCCGUUAAAUCCACCUGCUCAACAGAUGGGCUGCGGAAGAUACUAUGGAGCUAGGAGGCGGGAGAGGCAAGCGGUACUCGAUGGGUAGGGGUAAAAUCCGUUGAUCCAUUGAAGACCACCAGUGGCGAAGGCGGCUUGCCAGAACGCGCUCGACGGUGAGGGAUGAAAGCUGGGGGAGCAAACCGGAUUAGAUACCCGGGUAGUCCCAGCUGUAAACGAUGCAGACUCGGUGAUGAGUUGGCUUUAUGCCAACUCAGUGCCGCAGGGAAGCCGUUAAGUUUGCCGCCUGGGGAGUACGGUCGCAAGACUGAAACUUAAAGGAAUUGGCGGGGGAGCACCACAAGGGGUGAAGCUUGCGGUUCAAUUGGAGUCAACGCCCGGAAAUCUUACCGGGGGCGACAGCAGAAUGAAGGUCGAGCUGAAGACUUUACCAGACAAGCUGAGAGGAGGUGCAUGGCCGUCGCCAGCUCGUGCCGUGAGGUGUCCUGUUAAGUCAGGUAACGAGCGA